CCCACUGACAGUGAUUCAGUGAGUGAACCAGCUAAUGAUGCUCAGCUAUUCAGAGGGGGAACUACUCUUGAAGAGGACUGUGAAUUAGGCCUGGCUGAAGCUGAACAGUUUUGAGAAGAAAAGAUUUAGCCAAGAGGAAGGAAUAGAUGAGUGCUGUUGAUGAUUUAAUGUGGCAGGUUGCCGCAUACCAUAAAACUUUUCUGGUAUUUAUGCCUUGAAGGGGAUGGUGCAUUUUUUAUGAGGCAGACCAAACAAACAGAUGCUUCAAGGACCCUAUCUAAUAGAAG